CACUCGGGUCCUACGCCAAAACCCCACCACUCCACAGCACAGUCACGCUAGCACAGUAAUAAUCCCAUUCGGGCAUUUCAUCAAAUAUCAAUGCCUCCAAAAUCCGAGCCCCAAAACCUCUCCUCCUCCGCCAUGGAAUCUUCCGACUCCUCCAUCGACCCAUUCUUCCACGUCCUCAAAAUCCUUCCCUACUCCUUCCUCCGCCCUCCUCGUCUACGUCUAAAGCUCCCAUCCUUCACUCUUCCAUCCGCCAUGACCGUCUACGCCUUGAUCCUCCUCACCUACUUCCUCGUCGUGUCAGGGCUCGUCUACGAUGUCAUCGUUGAACCUCCGGGCAUCGGAUCUACUCAGGAUCCUCGCACCGGAUCAGUUAGACCUGUUGUUUUCCUCCCGGGUCGGGUCAAUGGGCAGUAUAUUAUCGAAGGGCUCUCCUCCGGGUUCAUGUUUGUUCUUGGCGGAACUGGGAUUGUGCUUUUGGACUUGGCUCUGGACAAAAAUCGGGCUAAAAGCGUCAAGGUUUCGUUUGCUUCAGCUGGGGUUGCUUUUGUUGUGAUUGCUUAUGUUAUGAGUAUAUUGUUCAUUCGUAUUAAGAUCCCGGCUUAUCUCCGCUGAGCGCUGUUCAUCAGGAUGUUAAGGAUUUUGAGAAAAGCUCGAGUUUUUAACUUUAUUGUGUUUUUUUGGGGACCUUUUGAAUGGGAUUUAUCUUAUUGUAAUGAAUUGACUUAUCAUAUAUGAAGUUAUGGAGGAAUUUUAAUUGCAUCUUAAAGUUGUAAUGCUGGUGAUCGGUGUCAUUUUCUGGUCACUUUCUUUCUUAUAGUGUUUAGAUUGAUGGUUGUUAUGAGAUAUGAUGGAUUCUUGAACGGGUAUUGAUAAUGACUUAUUGUAUUUGAAUGUUUUGGAGGAAUUUGAAUUGCAGCUUUAAGUUGUAACGCUGGUUAUCAAUGUCAUUUUCCAGUCAAUAUUGUUACUAAAAUGUUAAA